GACGAACGCUGGCGGCGUGCUUAACACAUGCAAGUCGAACGAUGAACCCGGAGCUUGCUCCGGUGGAUUAGUGGCGAACGGGUGAGUAACACGUGAGUAACCUGCCCUUGACUCUGGGAUAACUGCGGGAAACUGUAGCUAAUACCGGAUACGACCCUCGGCGGCAUCGCCAGGGGGUGGAAAGAAUUUCGGUCAAGGAUGGACUCGCGGCCUAUCAGCUAGUUGGUGAGGUAACGGCUCACCAAGGCGACGACGGGUAGCCGGCCUGAGAGGGUGACCGGCCACACUGGGACUGAGAUACGGCCCAGACUUCUACGGGAGGCAGCAGUGGGGAAUAUUGCACAAUGGGCGCAAGCCUGAUGCAGCGACGCCGCGUGAGGGAUGACGGCCUUCGGGUUGUAAACCUCUUUCAGCACCGACGAAGCGCAAGUGACGGUAGGUGCAGAAGAAGGACCGGCCAACUACGUGCCAGCCGCCGCAGUAA
rnacentral:rRNA from 1 species